UCCGAGGUAGCUCAAUCGGCAGAGCAAUCGACUGUUAAUCGAUAGGUUGUGGGUUCAAGUCCCACCCUCGGAGCCA
rnacentral:tRNA from 1 species